rnacentral:lncRNA from 1 species
UGUGGCUCUGGGGGAAGUGUACGGUGUUUUGUUUUAUCAAAUAGAUGAAUGGCUCUCCUAAACCAAAUCUGUGUGGGGUGCUGAAUAGAAAUGUCCAGUUUACUUGAUCACAUGCUUUUUCUCCGUAGGAGAUUCUGUGAGUAUCCCUGCCCACUCUCUGCUGCUGCUGUUUGCUGGGUUCUUUGGACAAUUUGUUUUUACAUUUGCCCCACCCUCUUCUAGGGUAAGGCAGUGACUUUAAUGGAGCAGGAAGCGUCUCGAGAUCUCACAGAAGACGAGGGUGCUUAGAGACCUCUGAAAGCAGCGAUGAUCACUGAUUUCUUCUUUCUGCUCAUAAUCAUGGGUGGACAUGUCUCCAGUGUAGAGCUACCAGAUGCUGAUCAGCAAAUAACCAAUGGGACAAUUAUCGGAGAUAACGAAGCUGAGGUGGAGAAAGUCUGUAAUUUUCAGGAUAUUGCUCAACACCUGAAUCUGAACAAAGACAAUUUUAAAUACACUAUGAGCCGGCCCAUUUUAAACAACAGUCAUCAUACAGAAGUAUGGCUCGAAGUGAAACUCUAUGCCAUCUUAGAUAUGGUAAUUUGUUCGGGCAUUUUUUUCAUUAUUAAUGACAGUGAAUAUUUUCUUUGGCAAUUGUGUGUCUGUGUGUGUGUGUGCGUGUAGAUGUGUUUCCAUGUGUACAUGUUUUCUUGCUUCUGAAACAUAUAAUGUUACAGCACUCACUGACAAAAGAACUCAUUAUUAUUAUUAUUGUUAUUAUUAUUAUUAUUGUUAUUAUUAUUAUCAUUAUUAUCAUUAUUAUUAUUAUUAUUAUUACUGUUAUUUACUUUGGCUUGCAUUACUUGCCACAACCUUUUUUUCUACUACAUUUUCUUACAUCAGUUCCUUUUUUAUUUUUUAUUUUUUGUAUUAGUUUUUUCUGAGACGUAUAUUUGACACACAGUACUGAGAUACAGUUUGUGAGUUGUGACUCCAUGGUAAUGCAUAAAGGUGUCACUGGAGUACUUUAAUGCUGAUGAAAUUGUAAAAAUUCCAAGGCAAGUUUCAAAGCACUACUGUCCAUCACUUCC